rnacentral:snRNA from 1 species
UCUCUGAUUUCGACGGUACAUCUAUUGGACCUGGGAUGAUACAGAUAAGAUUAGCACAGCCUCUGCGAAAGUAUAACACACACAUCAGAAAAGCUGAAACUUUU